GAUGAACGCUGGCGGCGUGCCUAAUACAUGCAAGUCGAGCGAACAGACGAGGAGCUUGCUCCUCUGACGUUAGCGGCGGACGGGUGAGUAACACGUGGAUAACCUACCUAUAAGACUGGGAUAACUUCGGGAAACCGGAGCUAAUACCGGAUAAUAUAUUGAACCGCAUGGUUCAAUAGUGAAAGACGGUUUUGCUGUCACUUAUAGAUGGAUCCGCGCCGUAUUAGCUAGUUGGUAAGGUAACGGCUUACCAAGGCAACGAUGCGUAGCCGACCUGAGAGGGUGAUCGGCCACACUGGAACUGAGCCACGGUCCAGACUCCUACGGGAGGCAGCAGUAGGGAAUCUUCCGCAAUGGGCGAAAGCUUGACGGAGCAACGCCGCGUGAGUGAUGAAGGUCCUCGGAUCGUAAAACUCUGUUAUUAGGGAAGAACAAAUGUGUAAGUAACUACGCACGUCUUGACGGUACCUAAUCAGAAAGCCACGGCUAACUACGUG
rnacentral:rRNA from 1 species